ACCAGUCUCUCCUCUGCGAUGACCUCUACUUCUCAUGCAGGUUCUGGCACAAAGAUUCCCUCUUCCAAAUUCUCAACGUCUGCUUCGAGGGUCUGGGCCUCCUCCAUUUGCCUGUUCAUUGGAUCUUCCCGAACAGGGUCAAGCGUCUCAAAGAGUCUUUGGGCUAGGGGGCUGUGUCUCCUCCUCAAAACUAUUUCUACGGUAACCCUUUCUAUAAAGCCGUCUGGGGGUUGUAGUGAGUGGGCCUACAGGCAGUAUUUGGCACUUUAACU